UUACGAGGUCAGGACACUGUGAGGAUUGACAGAUUGAAAGCUCUUUCUUGAUUCAGUGGGUGGUGGUGCAUGGCCGUUCUUAGUUGGUGGAGUGAUUUGUCUGGUUAAUUCCGUUAACGAACGAGACCUUAACCUGCUAAAUAGUCACGCGAACCGGUCCGCAAGGGCUCAAAGUUCGCGGCUCGACUUCUUAGAGGGACUAUUCGCACCCGCCAGCGAAUGGAAGUUUGAGGCAAUAACAGGUCUGUGAUGCCCUUAGAUGUUCUCGGCCGCACGCGCGUUACACUGACGGAGUCAACGAGCGUUUUUCCUUGCCCGAUAGGGCCGGGUAACCUCCUGAAACUCCGUCGUGAUGGGGAUAGAUCAUUGCAAUUAUUGAUCUUGAACGAGGAAUUCCUAGUAAGCGCGAGUCAUCAACUCGCGCCGAUUACGUCCCUGCCCUUUGUACACACCGCCCGUCGCUCCUACCGAUUGAACGGUCCGGCGAGAACUCCGGAUGGUC
rnacentral:rRNA from 1 species